AAGUCGUAACAAGGUAACCGUAGGUGAACCUGCGGUUGGAUCAUUAUUGAAAUUAUAAUCCAAUCUUUUUUUCUCAUAACUUCUGUUAAAAGAAGGCUAUGAGAUUGAAGGAAACAUCAUGUGAACUUGUUUAAUUGUCUCUGGUGGGUUAAAACGAUAAAGUAGUUUGAAAAAAUUACUUUACCCGGAAUGUGUGUGGCUUGGUGUUUGUGGGUAAAUUAUAUUUAUCCAUUCCCACCCCUCCACCCCCAUUUUACCCACUAUUUUUUUGUAUAUCAAAACCUGUUUUGUUUAACCUGGACCGAAUUUUUAAAAUGUUUUUUUCCUUUAAAAGAAAAUAACAAAUCUAAAAAAAAACAACUUUUGACAACGGAUCUCUAGGCUCUC
rnacentral:misc_RNA from 1 species